UACUUCUAAUUGCAAGCAAUUUUCCUCUGUAAAGGCCAAUUAAAAAAAAAAAAAAAAAAAAAACAGAAAACAAACACCUUUAACCAACUGACAUCCUUGCUAAGCUUUUAGGAGCAGACAUAUCUCACUCUUCCGUUUCCCCUAUGAAAAAGGCGAGGCUGACCUCAAAUGGGAUCCCUUCUAUGGUAUGUGUUCAUAAGGUAAAAUAUGUGGAAUGAAAGCAUUUUUCUUUGCCUGUCCUUUAUGUAUCAAGGCAAAAUUUAAUACAGUUCCAACUUAUACUUUCCAGUGUUUGAGUAUGUCCAAAAUUAACAUUAAAAUACACUCGCUCAUUCCCAGGAUCUUCAGCUUUAGUGCGCGCCUUUCAGCAAGUGUGUGGAUGGUGGAUGUACUUCACUUGCAGCAGCCCUAGAAGGCGGCCCCUGGAACUGGCCAGUACAGCUAGAGACAUCGGAGCGCUGCGUGCCUGGUCCAGAGGCAGAACCCUUGUCAUCCUUCUCAUUUCUGUACCAAUUCCUUAGCACAUUUUUGGUGCUACGCCUUUCCUUGAAGCCCAGGCACUACCAAAGAGGUUUUAAGAAAGAAAGACUGAGCCACCUGGGGAGGCGGGCGUCCAUCUGGAAACCUAGUUAACAGCUGGUGCUGGUAGCGAAACAGCAGGCUGUCCAGGGGAAACCCGGCUUUGGGCUGCACCACGAACCAAAUUGUGCUGCGAGGCCUCGUGCCCCGAAGGCGUGAUGAGUAUUUGCCUCUCCUCUGUUUCCUUCUGGACAAU